AGGGCUUGCUCUUAGCCCGUUCGAUCGAGUGUCGGCU
rnacentral:rRNA from 1 species